rnacentral:rRNA from 1 species
GUCCACGCCCUAAACGAUGCAUAUUUGGUGUGGGCAGUUCAUUCUGUCCGUGCCGGAGCUAACGCGUUAAAUAUGCCGCCUGGGGAGUACAGUCGCAAGGCUGAAACUCAAAGGAAUUGACGGGGGCCCCGCACAAGCGGUGGAGCAUGUGGUUCAAUUCGACGCAACGCGAAGAACCUUACCUGGGCUCGAACGGCCGGUCAACGGCGGUGGAAACAUCGCUACCCCGCAAGGGGGUCCGGUCGAGGUGCUGCAUGGCUGUCGU